rnacentral:rRNA from 1 species
UACGUAGGGUGCAAGCGUUAAUCGGAAUUACUGGGCGUAAAGCGUGCGCAGGCGGUUUUGUAAGACUGUCGUGAAAUCCCCGGGCUCAACCUGGGAAUGGCGAUGGUGACUGCAAGGCUAGAGUUUGGCAGAGGGGGGUAGAAUUCCACGUGUAGCAGUGAAAUGCGUAGAUAUGUGGAGGAAUACCGAUGGCGAAGGCAGCCCCCUGGGCUAACACUGACGCUCAGGCACGAAAGCGUGGGGAGCAAACAGG